rnacentral:rRNA from 1 species
GAUGAACGCUGGCGGCGUGCCUAAUACAUGCAAGUCGAGCGAACAGACGAGGAGCUUGCUCCUCUGACGUUAGCGGCGGACGGGUGAGUAACACGUGGAUAACCUACCUAUAAGACUGGGAUAACUUCGGGAAACCGGAGCUAAUACCGGAUAAUAUAUUGAACCGCAUGGUUCAAUAGUGAAAGACGGUUUUGCUGUCACUUAUAGAUGGAUCCGCGCCGCAUUAGCUAGUUGGUAAGGUAACGGCCUACCAAGGCAACGAUGCGUGGCCGACCUGAGAGGGUGAUCGGCCACACGAGAACUGAGACACGGUCCAGACUCCUACGGGAGGCAGCAGUAGGGAAUCUUCCGCAAUGGGCGAAAGCCUGACGGAGCAACGCCGCGUGAGUGAUGAAGGUCUUCGGAUCGUAAAACUCUGUUAUUAGGGAAGAACAAAUGUGUAAGUAACUAUGCACGUCUUGACGGUACCUAAUCAGAAAGCCACGGCUAACUACGUG